rnacentral:misc_RNA from 1 species
GAUGAAGAACGCAGCGAAAUGCGAUACUUGGUGUGAAUUGCAGAAUCCCGUGAACCAUCGAGUCUUUGAACGCAAGUUGCGCCCGAAGCCAUUAGGCCGAGGGCACGCCUGCCUGGGCGUCACACGUCGUUGCCCCCCCAUCUACUCCUUCGGGAUGGCGGGGGGCGGAUGAUGGCCUCCCGUGCGCCUCGUCGCGCGGUUGGCAUAAAUGCCAAGUCCUCGGCGACGCACGCCACGACAAUCGGUGGUUGCGAAACCUCGGUUGCCCGUCGUGUGCGGUCGUCGCGCAUCGAGGGCUCGAAAAAAUUGCCGGGCUCCGGCUCGGCUUUCAACGCGACCCCAGGUCAGGCGGGGUUACCCGCUGAAUUUAAGCAUAUCAAAAGCGGAGGA